GAAGUAAAAGUCGUAACAAGGUUUCCGUAGGUGAACCUGCGGAAGGAUCAUUAUUGAACAAAUCUGAGUGAGAUUGUUGCUGGUCUCUCCCUCACGUGGAGAGACAUGUGCACGUCUCGUUCUAUUUCCAUUCACUUUACACCUCUGUGCACUUUCCAUGAGUUCGGGUUUGAAGUCUGUGAAAAAGACGACAAACCUCCUCAUGUGUUUUCAACAUACCACUUGUCUCUGUUUUACGAACGUUCACUGUCAUGCAUGAAUGCAUACAUAAUACAACUUUCAGCAACGGAUCUCUUGGCUCUCGCAUCGAUGAAGAACGCAGCGAAAUGCGAUAAGUAAUGUGAAUUGCAGAAUUCAGUGAAUCAUCGAAUCUUUGAACGCACCUUGCGCUCCUUGGUAUUCCGAGGAGCAUGCCUGUUUGAGUGUCGUGGUAUUCUCAGCCUCUCACGCAUUUUGCCUUUGGCAAGUGUGGAAAGGGAGAGGUUGGAGUUGGAGGCAACCAUGCUGGGAACCGUGCACAAGCAAAAAGCUUUUUGCACAUUCCGGCUCCUCUGAAACGCAUCAGCUUGAAUGUUGCCAAGCAUGAUCCAGCGUGAUAAUUGUCUGCGCUGCUUCGUUCGUGGCAAUCACAUGUUCAAGUGUGUGUCUCCGAUGGUUGUCUUUUGAUGACGGGAGACGAGAAAAACAAAUCUGAACAUUCUGACCUCAAAUCAGGUAGGACUACCCGCUGAACUUAAGCAUAUCAAUAAGCGGAGGAAAAGAAACUAACAAGGAUUCCCCUAGUAACUGCGAGUGAAGCGGGAAAAGCUCAAAUUUAAAAUCUGGCAGCUUUGGUUGUCCGAGUUGUAGUCUGGAGAAGCGUUUUCUGUGCUGGACCGUGUAAAAGUCUCUUGGAACAGAGCGUCAUAGAGGGUGAGAAUCCCGUCUUUGAUACGGACUGCCAGUGCUUUGUGAUGCGCUCUCAAAGAGUCGAGUUGUUUGGGAAUGCAGCUCAAAAUGGGUGGUAAAUUCCAUCUAAAGCUAAAUAUUGGCGAGAGACCGAUAGCGAACAAGUACCGUGAGGGAAAGAUGAAAAGCACUUUGGAAAGAGAGUUAAACAGUACGUGAAAUUGCUGAAAGGGAAACGCUUGAAGUCAGUCACGUCCGUCAGAACUCAGCCAUACCUUUGUGUGGUGCAUUUUCUGGCAGACGGGCCAGCAUCAAUUUUGGCCGCUGGAGAAAGGCCUUGAGAAUGUGGCACCCUCGGGUGUGUUAUAGCUCAUGGCUGCAUACAGCGGUUGGGAUUGAGGAUCUCAGCAUGCCUUUAUGGUCGGGGUUUUCCCCACGUCCAUGCUUAGGAUGCUGGCGUAAUGGCUUUAAACGACCCGUCUUGAAACACGGACCAAGGAGUCUAACAUGCCUGCGAGUGUUUGGGUGGAAAACCCGAGCGCGCAAUGAAAGUGAAAGUUGGGAUCCCUGUCGUGGGGAGCACCGACGCCCGGACCAGACCUUCUGUGACGGAUCCGCGGUAGAGCAUGUAUGUUGGGACCCGAAAGAUGGUGAACUAUGCCUGAAUAGGGUGAAGCCAGAGGAAACUCUGGUGGAGGCUCGUAGCGAUUCUGACGUGCAAAUCGAUCGUCAAAUUUGGGUAUAGGGGCGAAAGACUAAUCGAACCAUCUAGUAGCUGGUUCCUGCCGAAGUUUCCCUCAGG
rnacentral:rRNA from 1 species